rnacentral:lncRNA from 1 species
GACGCGCUUGGACCAUGGAGCUGCACCGCGUGACCCAGGUGAUGCUGGAGGUGCUGGCGUGCGUCGUCCUGGCCUACCACCUGUCCGAGGCCAACGUCUUCUUCUUCUACCUGCUGCUGCUCCUGCCCCUCAUCUUCCUCUUUGAGGAGAGCGUCGAGCCAUGAGGAUGCCCGUGGUCCCUCUCUCGCUGUGCAGUAAAGAGCCGUGCCCACCCGUGCUGUGUGCUGCUGGCUGUGGGGUGGGGAGGGGCUGUCCCCGCGGCACGCUGCGUGCCCCCGGAAACUCGGGCACCCAAAAACAAGGACAGGGAUGGGGAUAGGGAUGGGGUCGUGACCACAGGUGGGGACAGGCUGGGGCAUGGGGACGGGCGGGGACAUGGGGACAGCAUGCCCUAGGAUGGUGCGGGUGGGCUCUGUCCCUGCAGCUGCAUCACCCUCAGCUGCACCACCCCGAGCACCCACCCAGUGCUGCCCCCACCUCAUCCAUGGCAUGGCCCCAAACGCCCCAGGGACCCCCAGCCCCCCCAGGUCCCAAAUGGGAGAUCUCAAUGGGGAUCGCACAGGAGGAGGGGCCGGGAUAUGGGGACGCUCCAUGUGUGGGCAUCGGGUGUGCAGCCGCUGGGUAUGGACGUGGCACCGCAGGGUGCUCACAGCCCUGGGGACGCGCACACCUGAAGCGCUGGGCACCCCCAGGCAGCAGGGAUGGGUGUGUGCCCGGGGCCGGGGCUGCACCGUUGUGGGGCAGGGACUGCGGGGGGGCACGGGGGGGCACGGCAUGGGACACACGCAGCGGGUGGCACGGACACCGUGGGGACACGGAGACGUUGGACAUGGAUGGACACGGUGGGGUGCACACAGCCCUGCACAGUGACACCACGGGGCACGGACACCAUGGGAUGUGGACACGUGGGACGUGGGCACACGACACGGAGCCAGGGGACAUGGAUGGGCACCAUGGGACACACGCAGCCAGCGCACAAUGACACACGGGUACAGGGACACCAAUGGGACACGGGGCACCGUGGGACACAGACCCAAGGGACUCCAUGGGACGUGCACAGCCGGAGCACAAGGACACCCCGGGACAUGGACACCAUGGGACACGGGACAUCAUGGGACAAGGGGCACCAUGGGACACGGAGCCAAGGGACACGGGUGGACACCAUGGGACGCACACAGCCAGAGCACAAUGACACCCUGGGAGGUGGGAACACAGGACACGGACACCAUGGGACGUGGACCCAAGGGACACGGAUGGACACCAUGGGACGCACACAGCCAGCGCACAAUGACACACGGGUACAGGGACACCAAUGGGACACGGGGCACCAUGGGACACGGAGCCAAGGGACAUGGGUGGACACCAUGGGACGCACACAGCUGGAGCACAAUGACACCCUGGGACGUGGGGCCACUGGACGGGGACACCACGGGACGUGGACCCAAGGGACACGGAUGGACACCACGGGACGCACACAGCCGGCACACAAUGACACACGGGUACAGGGACACCAAUGGGACACGGAGCCAAGGGACACGGGUGGACACCAUGGGAUGCGCACAGCCAGAACACAAGGACACCCCGGGACAUGGAGACCAUAGGGCACGGGACAUUGUGGGACACUGGGUACCAUGGGACACAGACCGAAGGGACACAAGUGGACACCAGGGGACGUGGACCCAAGGGACACGGAUGGACACCACGGGACGCACACAGCCGGCGCACGGUGACACCCCGGGACGUGGGACCACUGCACGGGGACACCCCCGGACACGGUCCUGGCGCUCACGGACCCCCGAGAACGCCCCAGAGGACGCGGACAGAAGCACGGACACGCGGGCCCGGUGCCGCGGCUGUUUAUUGGCGAAGCAGCAGCACGGGGCCGCGGGCCGGGCACGGCGUGCCGGUGCCGGUGCCGGUGGUGGUUCCGGUGGUGGUGGCGCGGGCGGUCGCAUCAACGGCGGCGGCGGCGGCGGCUCCCGUAGCGGCGUCGCCGUCUCCCCACGGAGCGUCCGGAGCGACGGGAGCUCCCGUAGCGGCGGCGUCGGGGGCUGCGGCGGCGUCGGGAGCGGCGGCGGCGGCGGCGGCUGCGGCUGCGGGUCCUGCUGCGCCGGUAGCGGGCCAUGCCGGGCUGCGGUGGGACGGCUCCGCGGCGGUGCCGAGCUGUGCGGUCGGAAGAGCGGGCGGAACGCGCAGCUCGCCCCGGCCCGACCCCGGAGCCACGCUCCGCCGCGGACAACGGGCCGUUCUCACCCUGCUCCUCGCACGCAGCAGCCGGGAACCUCCGGGACAGUUUCGCGAAGCGGCGGCGGUGCCCACCGCCCGUUCUCCGAGCCCUGCGGCAACGCAGCCCCGCACCCCCCGACGGCACGACCCGCUGCGAGCCCCGCCGCGACCCUUAUAUAGCCCGCCCGAAACACGUGACCCCCGUCCCGGCUCCUCAUUGGCCGAGCGCUGCUAGCCCCCUCCCCGCUGCCGGCAGAGCGGAGCUGGGGGGGUGGCCCCGGGGGCCGGGACCGGGACCGGGACCGGGACUGGGACCGGCGGGUCCUACCCCUGCACAGCGGAUCUGCCGGGAGAAACCGCUCCCGCCGCUGUUUUGCCCGGGGCUGCGCGUCCAGCGGGGCCCUGUCCCUCCCCGUGCCACGUGCCCCCACCCUGUGCCGUGCGACAGCCCCCUGUGCCACCCCCACUCCCCCCAUGAGAAAUAAAGGAUCUUGCAGAGACCA